CAACAUGGCACGAAGCAUCCCUGUCUUGAGACUGUGCAUGUACGUUAGUGCACCCAGGUUUUGAGAUGUCCUGAGCUUGAUUUAACCCAACUCGUUCGACCCUCAGCACAUCUUCUCCUUUUGUUCAUUAGCCCUAGCAGGGACAAAUUUAGAGAAAUGACCAAAUUGAUCGUUUAUCCUUAUUGCACAACCUCUGACUUUUACAGCUUCAGUUGGGGCUAUCCCUUAACAGGAGGUCUACAUUGGGUGUUGGGGGCAGUAGAGAAAGUAUCAUUCUUUAAGGUGGAUACUUUAGGUGAUUUUCAUGGUUUCACACUAUUGUAUCCUAAUGAUGAUUAAUAGGAAGUAAUAUAACUAAAUUUAAUAAAUGCUAGUAAAGUGCAAUUACUUCCCUUUUAAUAGAAGAGGAUCAAGACUUUUCCUUCGAAGGGAAGGGAAGUUUAGUUUUAUGUGCCUAGUUAUGCUUAAAUUUUUAUAAAAAUGUGUUCUGAAAAAAAAAGUAUAAAUCAAACUAUUGAAAAAAACAUCUCAGGAAUUCCCAUUGUGGCUCAGCAGGUUACCAACCCAACUAGUAUCCAUGAGGAUGCGGGUUUGAUCCCUGGCCUUGCUCAGUGGGUUAAGGAUCUGGUGUUGCCUUGAGCUGUGGUAGAGGUCGCAGACGUGGCUCCGAUCUGGUGUUGCUGUGGUUGUGGUGUAGGCUGGCAGCUGUGGCUCUGAUUUGAUCUCUAGCCUGGGAACUUCCAUAUGCCCUAAAAAGCAAAAAAGCAAAAACAAAACAAAACAAAAAAUCUCAUUUUCUCAUUGACUUAGUAAAGCUUUCAUCUCAGUUGUACCAAUAUGAGAUUAAAAAAAUUAAUUUUUUUUUCCAUCUUUUAUCCCCCUGAUGUUUUAACUCAGCUAAUUAUCAGGAGAUUCCUCAAUGCACAAAGAAAUCUAGCAGUGAAUCUUUAAAUAAAUGUUCACUCUCUAUAGAUACCUUUGGUAGAUUUAGAGGCAGAGCUUUCUAUAUUAUAAACAUCUAAUCAAUCAGUAAGUUCUAAAUAAAUAAGUAAAUUUUUUCUUUAGAUUUCCUUAGUGCAGCUUACAUCCAAAUAUGGGGACUAUUUGAGCAAAACCUAAGUUUAUGUCUGCUGUCAGAAAUGUAUUUCUUGGCUGGAACUCAUACUUUUGGAAAAAGUGAGCAUGUGGAUACAUGUUGAAAGUGUGGAUAUAAAGUUCUACUCUGAUUGCUAAAGAAGUUUUCCUGGAAAGCAGUUUCAAGAGGAAAGUGGUGUUACCAUGGUCAGGUUGGAGCAAGAAAAAUGAAAUACACCGAGAUUCUGAAAGGAGCAAAAUGGGAAAGAUGACUGUGUUUCUCUCAAGCAACAGAUCAUGCUGUGAGCUCCCCACUUUAUCCAUUUUGUUCAUUGUGUUAAUUCUACAUCUCACAUCCUCCUCAUGCCCUCUUGCAUUUGCCCAGCUCAGAAGCAUCUGGGCAGGUCUCACUGUCCGUCAAGAGCUCUGCCUUUAAAGUCUUGCCUUUGCAGCCGUGGCCUGCCCCUGAGGUGGCCUUCCUGGCAGCUAUUGAGAAACAUGACCCUUUUGGGGCACCACCUAUGAGAGCUUUGGGCUGGCUCUAAAGGCCUGCCAUUGACUAGAACACUGGAGAAGAGGGGCAGCUUUGGAGAGAAAGCACGGUUCACUUUGACAUGCUUGGUUUGAAGCUCCUUUUUGACAUCCAGGCAGGGUGAGCCUGGGGCUGGGGGUAAGGAUUCAGCCGUUGUCAGUUACACACUGUGUAGUUGGGAGGAGCUGAGAAGGAGCCCUAAUUUUUAGAGUUAGAAAAGGGAGGAGGAGCCGACCAAGAGUGACUUAAAAGGAAUAGCCAAGAGAGAACCCAAGAAUAGCCAAGGAAGUGCUUCAUAGAGGAGGAAAGGGUGAUCACGUGUCACAUGCAUGAUGGAGCAGCAAGGGUGGAGGUGGGACUCGACCUCAGAUUUCCCAAGGAUUAAGCCAGCUGAUGCCCCUGGAGCAGAGUGGGGGCUAUGAAACAUUCCAUGAUCAUUAUCAUCACAGUAUUGACUAAUAAUUGUAUGGAUCUUCACAUUUUAAUAGCCACUAGUAUAAUAAUGUCACUCAUUAUUGAUAAGCCUCAUUAUUCCUAUGAGGGUCUGUGGGCUGUUGGGCAGCUAACUAAAACCUUUCUACCAUUUGAUGGAGCUCCCACAGUGGUGCAGGGGUUGAGAACCUGACUACAGCAGCUCGGGACGCUGUGGAGGAGCAGUUUCAAUCCCUGGCCUGGCACAGUGGGUUAAAGGAUCUGGCAUUACCACAGCUGCGGUGUAGGUGGCAGCUGAGGCUCAGAUUCAAUCCCUGGCCCAGGAAUUUACAUCUGCUGCAUGUGCAGAAAUAAAAAAUAAAUACAUAAAACUUUUCUACGCUUUGAAUAGGAGAGAAGAAAUGUGAUUCCUUCUCUAUCAUGAUUAUUUCCUGUGUCUUGUCACACUCCAGGACCACUCUGCUCCAAGUGGAACAGCUGGCCCUAAGAAGAACUUGUGUUCAGUCUUGCCAGCAUAUUGUUGUUUGGCUCUUCUAUGUCCAUUUACAUGACUGUGUUGUAUGAGGACAUUUCCAUGCUCCUUUAUGGUUUUGUAAUGAAUGUGGCGAUGAUGCAUCAACCUUGAUAAACUGCAAAGUGUGCCCGUCUCUUCCCUCUUUUCUUCGGCCACCUGUCCCUGGCUUCAGUUUUGACUCAGAUGAGUGAGGAUGUCUAUGUAGACCUGGCAAGAAAUAUCCAAGUGUCAAUGACAUGUACUACACAAAUAUCCAAGGCCAUGUCUCUUGGAGCAUCUAGGUCCUUUAUUUGGUGAGAAGUUGCUCCUAUACAUCACACCUGCUCCGCACAUCCCUCAGGUAUGGAGAAUGGGCAGCUGGUGGUCAUUUAUUUCCACAUUUUUGGGGUAGCAGGCAGAAUCCUGGUGUGAGGGAUAAUCAAACAUAGCUGCUCUUCCCCUGCUUGUGAAUGCCACCUGUCACCCCACCUAGCUCUGUCCACUCUCCUCAGUCUCUGGCCACUGCCCUCUGGCUACUGCCCUGCUCAGCAGCAUCUCCACUGCUGCAUCAUCAGGACAAAGAAGACAGAUGAACCCAUAUCCCCCUGGAGUCCUGGGUGGCCUGGACUCUUGAAUUUACGCUAGGCUUUAUGAUGAAUUAUAAGCUGGCUAUAGUAGAACUUUGUUAUCUGAGAUUGAGGGACAGAAACAUACACUGGCUGGAGCCCAGGGUUGCAACAAAGAGAAGCUUCAGUUGUUGAUCUGCUUCUGCACAUGAAAUGGACCUCGGAGAUGCCUGGACCGCUCCCUGAACUCGACUCUAUACCCAAAUCCCACCUCCACGUCCCUGCUUGGACGUUGACUAACCAUCUCAAAGCGAAUACAUCCAACACUCAACUCCCGAUUGCCUCCACCUCCAAAGCUCUCUUCCAGCAGUCUCCCCUUUCUCAGUAAAUGACAGCUCCAUCCUCCCAUUGGCUCAGGCCCAAAUCUUGGAGUCAGUUUUGACUCCUUUUUCACUUUUCUCAUUUAUCACAAUAUAAAUCCUGAAUCCAAUCAAUUCUCAAGAUCUCUACUUACCAAUGGGUGUGAGCUACCUUUAUGUCUCACCUGGAAUUGUCAGUGGUUUUCUAACCCACUUCCCAGCCUCCACCCUGCCCCGCCCCCACCUGCCUACUAUCAGUGCUCACCCUGCCGCCAAGGCAAUCUGUUGAAAUAUGGCAGAUCACCUCCAUUCCCUGCUCAAAACCCCCUGAUGGCUCGCAUCUCAGAGAACAUCCAAGUCCAGUACAGUCUGGCUCCAUUACUCCCCACCUUCAUCUCCUGUUUGCCUCCCUUCACCAACUCUGGCUACACUGGCCUCCCUCUGCUCCUGGAGCGUUUCAGGAGCAGGCCUCAGGGCUUUUGCUCCUGCUGUUCCUUCUUUCCGGAGCCCUCUUCCCCCACAUUCACACCCCUCACACCUUUUCUUUCAAUGCCACCUUCUCAGUAAGGACUUUCCUUACUACCCAGUGAAAAAUGCAGUUCUCUGGCUGGCCCCCUCCCCCCAUCUACACUCCUUCCACCUCCCUGCUUUAUUUUCUCUAUGAUGUACUCACCUGACAAGCUGUAGUAUAGAGUAAAAGGCUUAACAGCAUGGACCCUGGAGAUGAACCAGUAUCAUUCUAUUGCUAUUUUUUCCUAAAAAGCCUUAUUUUGCAGUUAGAAGAGUUUGGAAUAAAAUACAUCAACAUAUAAUACUGUUUUUCUCCAGAUGGUGAAAUAAUGAAUAAUUUUAAUUUUCUUUAUCCUCCCUAUAUUUUCGAAUGAGUUCCUACUUUCAUGAUCAUGAAAAAAGAAUAUCAUUUGUUUCAAAUAGGGAAAAAGGGGAGUUCCCAUCGUGGUGCAGUGGAAACAAUCCAACUAGGAGCCAUGAGGCUGCGGGUUCAAUCCCUGGCCUUGCUCAGUGGGUUAAGGAUCUGGCGUCGCCGUGAGCUGUGGUGUAGGUUGCAGACAUGGCUUGGAUCUGGUGUUGCUGUGGCUCUGGUGUAGGCUGGCAGCUACAGGUCCGAUUAGACCCCUAGCCUGGGAACCUCCAUAUACGCAGGUGUGGCCCUAAAAGGACAAAAAGACAAAGAAUAAGUAAAUAAAUAAAAUAGGGAAAAAGGAAGUUUGCUUGUGGCUCAGCAGGUUAAGGAUCUGGCAUUUUCACAACUGUGGCACAGUUUCGCCCCCUGGUCUAGGAACUUCCACAUGCCUCUUGUGGG
rnacentral:lncRNA from 1 species